rnacentral:rRNA from 1 species
GACAGAGGGUGCAAACGUUGUUCGGAAUUACUGGGCGUAAAGCGCGUGUAGGCGGCUUGGCAAGUCGGGUGUGAAAGCCCCGGGCUCAACCUGGGAAGUGCACUCGAAACUGCUUGGCUUGAGUACUGGAGAGGGAAGCGGAAUUCUCGGUGUAGAGGUGAAAUUCGUAGAUAUCGAGAGGAACACCGGUGGCGAAGGCGACUUACUGGACGAUUGUUGACGCUGAGGUGCGAAAGCGUGGGGAGCUAACAGG